rnacentral:rRNA from 1 species
UACGUAGGGUGCGAGCGUUAAUCGGAAUUACUGGGCGUAAAGCGUGCGCAGGCGGGUCGCCAAGUCAGGUGUGAAAUCCCCGGGCUUAACCUGGGAAUUGCGCUUGAAACUAGCGGGCUUGAGUGUGGCAGAGGGGGGUGGAAUUCCACGUGUAGCAGUGAAAUGCGUAGAGAUGUGGAGGAACACCGAUGGCGAAGGCAGCCCCCUGGGUCAACACUGACGCUCAUGCACGAAAGCGUGGGGAGCAAACAGG